rnacentral:tRNA from 1 species
GGGUCUGUAGCUCAGCUGGGAGAGCGUUCGGUUCGCAUCCGAGAGGCCGUGAGUUCGAGUCUCAUCAGAUCCACCA